GUUCCUUUGGGAAUAUCCGAUAAAAUUGAAACGAUAUAGAGAAGAUUAGCAUGGCCUUUGCGCAAGGAUGACAUCAAAACAAGUCGAUUAUAUAUUC
rnacentral:snRNA from 2 species